rfam:Pelecanus crispus contig38574, whole genome shotgun sequence.
GCGUCCGCAGCUCAGCCAAGCUGUUGUUUUAAAAGAGCAAUAAAAAUGAAUUAUGACUAAACGCCUUCUCACUUAAUGGUUUUAGACGGGGAUCCCCAGCCCCGGCAAAUACGUAAGAGGAUUUUUAUUUGUGCAUGGGUUCCUGCAAUUGAUCUCUU